ensembl:lncRNA
UUUUAGAAUAAGGCUGUAACGUAACAAAAUGUCUAAAAAGGGAAGAGGUCUGAAUACUUUCUGAAUAAAGUGUACAUAUAUUAUUAUCUGCCAUUCACCUCACAUCAGUCUGUAUACAUCCAACGAUGUAUUGUAUUGCAGCUGUGGUUACGGUGUUGGUGCGAGCUGGUUUUGACGAGACCAUGCAGGAGGCUCUCCCUGGUUUGCUGUUCAGUGCUGGAUGACAUGCUCUCCUGUGUGCUGGAUACUGGUGAAAAAGCAGCUGAAUGAUGUUGGCAGUGAUAUUCAAGGUAGAGGAGCUGCUUUCUCAACUGCAGUAUGUACUGGAGACUCGUGAGGUUAACUGGAAGCAUGUGCUCUCCUGUCUCUCCACCCUGCUCGUGUACAAUCCAAACACCCAGCCAAGCCUCAAAGCCCCAGUGUCAGGCAGGUCAGGAUGUGGACAAGGCAGUCUCUUUGUUUGAGAGCACAGGAAGGAUAUCUGCCACAGUCAUCAUGGAGGGCUGCAUGUUCAGAAGGCCAUAUUUCCCGACCCGGUUUCUCCUUGCCCUCCUAACUCCACGUGUGGUAAGACUUAUUCUCUUGCUUUAAAAUGAAUGGAUUUUAUUGAAUGGUGUGUUCACAUGCUCUGUCCAGGUAUUGUAUUUGUUGUC